rnacentral:rRNA from 1 species
UAAACUAGGAUUAGAUACCCUAUUAUUAUAAAUGUUUAUUUUUAUACUAAAUUAUUAAUAGUUAUGUUCUUUAAAAUUAAAAAAUUUGGCGGUAUUUUAGUCUUUUCAGAGGAACCUGUCCUGUAAUUGAUAGUCCACGAUUAAGGAUACUUUAUUUAUUAAUUUACAUAUCGUCGUAGUUUGAAUAUUUUAUUAGAAUUAUAAUAUUCAAGAUUUUAUUUUAGAAAAUAUAUCAGAUCAAGGUGUAGUUUAUAAUAAAGAAGAGGUGGGUUACAAUAAAUUUAUUUUUGAAUAAAUUUUUUGAAAAAAUUUUGAAUUUGGAUUUGAAAGUAAUUUUUUGAGAUUUACUAAAAAUGAUUAUAGCUCUAAAAUAUGUACACAUCGCCCGUCGCUCUUAA